GAUUCACGGUGUCGCGGUGCAAUCUUUGACCGAUUAAAAUAAUUAACGAAUUCCUUCAAUUAUGGUACACCUUGUGUGAAAUAAUAGACAUUACAAAACCCCGCGACACAAGUAUUAUUGUUAUAUUAUUUAUACCCAUCGAAUACCGUGUACAUAUUCGUUUUCAUCGAUAAACGCACAUUAUCUUAAAAAUUCUGACUACGGCAAAAUGGCAGCAAGCGACUCUACCACCGACGACAGCCUCUACCCAAUUGCUGUUUUGAUCGAUGAAUUGAAAAAUGAAGAUGUUCAGCUACGUUUGAACUCGAUCAAGAAAUUGUCUACCAUUGCUCUUGCGUUGGGUGUUGAGCGCACACGCAGUGAGCUAAUACCAUUUUUAACUGAAACAAUAUAUGAUGAGGAUGAAGUGCUCUUAGCCCUUGCUGAACAGCUGGGAACAUUCACUCCUCUUGUAGGAGGUCCGGAAUUCGUUCACUGUCUUUUGCCUCCGCUAGAAUCACUAGCAACGGUAGAAGAGACAGUUGUGCGUGACAAAGCGGUUGAAUCGCUGCGCAAUAUCGCAAGCCAGCACAGUCCCGCAGAUUUAGAAGCUUACUUUGUCCGCUUGGUACAACGUCUUGCAGCUGGAGACUGGUUCACAUCACGAACAUCUGCAUGUGGCCUUUUCAGCGUCUGCUACACUCGCGUCAGUCCAGCAAUCAAAGCGGAACUGCGAAAUCACUUCCGCAAUCUGUGCCAAGAUGAUACCCCGAUGGUCAGACGGUCAGCGGCUUCCAAACUGGGUGAAUUUGCCAAAGUCGUUGAGGUUGAGUACUUGAAAUCAGACUUGAUCCCUAUGUUCGUCAUCCUCGCCCAAGAUGAACAGGCAAGUUCGGACUCGGUACGUUUACUGGCAGUCGAAGCUUGUGUUAGCAUCGCUACCCUAUUACAACAAGAGGACGUAGAGCAAUUGGUUAUGCCAACGCUUCGCCGUUGCACAGGCGACACAUCGUGGAGGGUACGGUACAUGGUUGCAGAUAAAUUCACGGAUCUUCAAAAAGCAGUUGGCCAGGAGAUCACAAAAACGGAUCUAGUUCCAGCAUUCCAAGCACUGCUCAAAGAUACCGAGGCAGAAGUUAGAGCUGCUGCUGCGAACAAAGUUCGCGACUUUUGCCAGAACCUGGACCAGUUUAAUCAAGAAUCGAUCAUCAUGACGAAUGUCUUACCAUAUGUAAAGGAAUUGGUCGCCGAUCCCAAUCAACAUGUCAAAUCGGCUCUGGCCAGCGUCAUUAUGGGUUUAAGCCCUAUUCUUGGAAAGCACAACACGAUUGAGCAUCUUUUGCCAUUAUUCUUGUCACAAUUAAAAGAUGAAUGUCCUGAAGUUCGUCUAAAUAUCAUCAGUAAUUUGGAUUGCGUGAAUGAAGUGAUUGGUAUUCAGCAACUUUCCCAAUCUUUGUUACCGGCAAUAGUUGAAUUGGCAGAAGAUUCGAAGUGGCGAGUGCGCCUAGCAAUCAUCGAAUACAUGCCUUUAUUAGCUGGACAGCUGGGUGUUGAGUUUUUUGAUGAGAAACUAAAUUCACUCUGUAUGACCUGGCUAGUGGAUCAUGUGUACGCAAUUCGCGAGGCGGCCACUCUAAAUUUGAAAAAACUAGUCGAGAAAUUUGGACCUGAAUGGGCUCAGAACACUGUAAUCCCGAAAGUUUUGGCUAUGUCGAGAGAUCAAAAUUACCUCCACAGGAUGACUUGCCUGUUUUGCAUCAAUGUAUUAGCAGAAGUGUGUGGUCCUGACAUAACGACAAAAGUCAUGUUACCCACAGUAUUGGCGAUGGCUAAUGAUAAUGUAGCCAAUGUGAGAUUUAACGUCGCUAAAACUCUACAGCGUAUCGGGCCUUACCUAGAAGCAAGCGCGGUACAGACCCAAGUUAAACCAGUUCUCGACAAAUUGAACACAGAUAGCGAUGUGGAUGUUAAGUAUUUUGCCUCUGAAGCUAUUGCUGGUAUUGCAGCUCUGCGCGGAAGUAGAUCGAUACCCUGUUAAUAUCCCUAUCUUGAUAGAAGUGGAUCCCGACGAAUUAAUAGUGCCCUGGCUUUUGAAUGCAGAAUAACCAAACGUAGGUUGAAAACGAGAUUACUAGCAAACACUACUUACCCGAAAAAUCAGAUCAACAAAGUAAAAAUCGUCGCAAUUUCUAAGCGAAUCAACACUGGUAAAAAAUAUUAUUAAUGCGAGAGUAAAAUGAUGGAAAACAAUCAUUCAUAAAAUGUUUAAUUAGCUGUAAUGUUGAACGAUAUUUAAGUUGUAUUGUAUUUGUAAUAUCUAUACUAUGCUGAUUAUUGGAAGUUCGGUUGAUUGAAUAACAAAACUCGUAUAAAUACACUUAAGCUAAUAUCUGAAAGAUUAAUUAAUAAAGUGAAUGACUCGUAAUCAUUCCCAAACUUAA